rnacentral:sRNA from 1 species
GCUGCUUCCCCUGCUGUUGCUCCUGGUCGGCGCGUGGCUCAAGCUAGGAAAUGGACAGGCUACUAGCAUGGUCCAACUGCAGGGUGGGAGAUUCCUGAUGGGAACAAAUUCUCCAGACAGCAGAGAUGGUGAAGGCCCUGUGCAGGAGGUGACAGUGAAACCCUUUGCCAUCGACAUAUUUCCUGUCACCAACAAAGAUUUCAGGGAUUUUGUCAGGGAGAAAAAGUAUCAGACAGAGGCUGAGAUGUUUGGAUGGAGCUUUGUCUUUGAGGACUUUGUCUCCGAUGAGCUGAGAAACAAAGCCACCCAGCCAAUGAAGCCUGUACUCUGGUGGCUUCCAGUGGAAAAGGCAUUUUGGAGGCAGCCUGCAGGUCCUGGCUCUGGCAUCCGAGAGAGACUGGAGCACCCAGUGUUACACGUGAGCUGGAAUGACGCCCGUGCCUACUGUGCUUGGCGGAGAAAACGGCUGCCCACGGAGGAAGAGUGGGAGUUUGCCGCCCGAGGGGGCUUGAAGGGUAUCCAGAUGAUAAGGCGAUUUUCCUUUAUUCUUCUCCCCAUCCUGCCCAGU